rnacentral:lncRNA from 1 species
GAUAACAAUGACCUAAAAAAUAUUUUAAAAUGUAUAAACAUCAAUUGAAUCAUACAGGAAAACACUCAUUUGUUGGUAAAGGAAAGACACCUGGAGGAUAAUGUUCUUAUAAUUAGUUUGAUAUGUCUUCUGCAGUAUUAUAAAAAUAAAAAGAAGAUGUGAUAUGAUUACCUAUGAGACAACUGUCAACAAGAGACCAAAAUGACACAGACAUUAACAAGUAUAGGUCACCAUACGUCCUUCAACCAUGAGCAAAGGUCAAACUGCAUAGUCAGCUAUAAAAGGCCUCGAUAUGACAAUGUAAAACAAAUCAAACGAGAAAACUAAUCGAGUUAUUUAUAUAAAAAAAUGAACGAAAAACAAAUAUGUAAUACAUAAACAAACGACAACCACUGAAUUACAGGCUCCUGACUUGGGACAGGCACUUUUAUAAAAAAAAAAUGUGGCGAGGUUAAACUUAUUAGCGGCAUUCUAACCCUCCUCUUAACCUGGGACAGUGGUAUAACAGUACGAAAUAAGAACGAACUAUAAAAAUCAGUUGAAAAAGGCUUAACUCAUCAGAUGGACAAAAAUACAAGUGGACGUGGCCGGGUACGUGUACAUCCCGACAACAUAAAAGCACUAGGAACAGAUCUGAGAGUACUCGCAGUUAUCUGACAGCCAUUUCAAAUCCACUAACAACUAAUAAAAAACAUGCAUCUUAGACAAAAC